GUUUGAUCAUGGCUCAGAUUGAACGCUGGCGGCAUGCCUUACACAUGCAAGUCGAACGGCAGCACGGGAGCAAUCCUGGUGGCGAGUGGCGAACGGGUGAGUAAUGUAUCGGAACGUACCUUUCAGUGGGGGAUAACGUAGCGAAAGUUACGCUAAUACCGCAUAUUCUGUGAGCAGGAAAGCAGGGGAUCGCAAGACCUUGCGCUGAUUGAGCGGCCGAUAUCAGAUUAGCUAGUUGGUGGGGUAAAGGCCUACCAAGGCGACGAUCUGUAGCGGGUCUGAGAGGAUGAUCCGCCACACUGGAACUGAGACACGGUCCAGACUCCUACGGGAGGCAGCAGUGGGGAAUUUUGGACAAUGGGGGCAACCCUGAUCCAGCCAUGCCGCGUGAGUGAAGAAGGCCUUCGGGUUGUAAAGCUCUUUCAGCCGGGAAGAAAUCGCAUGGGCUAAUACCCUGUGUGGAUGACGGUACCGGAAUAAGAAGCACCGGCUAACUACGUGCCAGCAGCCGCGGUAAUACGUAGGGUGCGAGCGUUAAUCGGAAUUACUGGGCGUAAAGCGUGCGCAGGCGGUUUAGUAAGACAGGCGUGAAAUCCCCGGGCUCAACCUGGGAACUGCGCUUGUGACUGCUAAGCUAGAGUACGGCAGAGGGGGGUGGAAUUCCACGUGUAGCAGUGAAAUGCGUAGAGAUGUGGAGGAAUACCGAUGGCGAAGGCAGCCCCCUGGGCUAGUACUGACGCUCAUGCACGAAAGCGUGGGGAGCAAACAGGAUUAGAUACCCUGGUAGUCCACGCCCUAAACGAUGUCAACUAGGUGUUGGAAGGGUUAAACCUUUUAGUACCGCAGCUAACGCGUGAAGUUGACCAA
rnacentral:rRNA from 1 species